GUUACGACGAGUGCUGCACUUUCGUCGAGCAUCGUGCAGCGUUCCUGAACUUCAUUAACCGAGGUAGCUGGGCGCCUGUACACGUUGGAUGUUUUCGGAUUUACUGGCAGAAGCGGAAACGGUUUCUCGGUAUUAAAGUCGGUCUUCGUAAAAUCGCGAAGGCGGGACCAGAUACCGGAAAUGAAAACGCUUCGUCGCAUCCGGCGCAGGCUUACCCCUGUUUCAUCCAUUACAACGUUGUCGAGGGCGCAGUGUUCCCUCUCCCCACGCGCGACGCAAUAAUAAUUCGAAGGCCAGAGUCGUACUGUUAUUGAAACAGUGGAGGCUUACAAGCGGAUCAGACCGUACAAGUACUAUCAACGUAGGCCAUGGCGUCGAUCACGAUGGUAUGCAGGACAUAGAUCACCGAAGAUCUACCAUUCGAAGAGAACACCACCGGAAGGCUAUUAUUCCCGCAGACCUGGGUACUACAGGUAGUCCGGAUAGAUGAAACAGCCUACUCACCGGCAAAAAUAUCGCUAACUUCCACUAUUCGCUAUUCAUCCCAUCGCUUCUAAUCUCUACUACAACGGCAUCGUCGCUUGUUUGAAAUACGACGCACGUCUUCGUCCCCCUCGUUUUAACGAAUGAUCAUCGCGGGACGAUAAAUGUUGUAUCGAUCCAGUAUCGAGUCCAACGACGGUGACGGAUUAUCGUGAACAAGCUUCCACGUCUGACGAUCAGGAAGCUUACGCGUGGGACAUGCUUCUACACGAAAUCGAUAGUAGGUCAUUCUAACUCGCAAUGCCAUUAUGUGUCAUCAGGUGUUUGGGACACCAUUACGGUCGUUCAGGGUGUCGCUCUUAAUGGAACGUAACGCUAACACUCUGGAUCUUUUAACGUCAUUUGGAAAGAUAACGACGUGUGUUCAUGCUCGAAAUAUUUCAGAGUGAAACGCUUUCGCUUCUUUAGGUUUUGGAAAAGAAUUGUAUUACUUAUAUCGUACGAAAAUGUUUCGUUAUUUAGAGAUAGUUACUUAAAACGAAAUGGGUCAGGUGGAUACUUAAACUCGUGUUCAAAUCCUCUGGAAUAAUGUACGAUACCCGUGAUGUACAGUCUCGCUAGCAAAGCAAUAAUCUUAUCAGCCCUUAGAUUCCACAACAGCAAUUUACAAUUAAUCAAAGAUAAUCUAGUUAAUAAUGGUUAUUCCCCUAAAACAAACACAGGUAUAGAAGUUUGGCGUAUGGUUUGUCUCUUUCAUCAUGCGACUGACAUUCAGAGGAGAUCGAGUUGUUAAUACUAAUUAAAACCACGAUAGCAAAUUGAAAAGGUAAAUAAGUUAAUUAUUUCCAAGAAUUACGAUCACCUGUUCUACGCACCGAUGACUACCACUCGCGUGUCACGUUCGUAAUGUUACUUUUUCUAAUUGCGAAAUUUACCUGUUAUUAACCCCCUGAGCUACCCUUCGAGAUUACCGAUAGAUAGGUCUCACCCUACGUUUCUUAAUGGAGUUUCUGGCACAAGGUCAUACGAUGGACAAAGAUAUACCACACUUCUACUAAUCACUUUUUGAUUACGCGCUCUAAAGAAAUCGAUACAACAAGAAACGCUAGAACGUUCCAGAUUAUUUUCUUCGCACUGCAUUCAGCUAUUCUGUUAAUACCAAGAACACGAUAUGUGUGAUACGAUGAAUAAUAACUCCGACAUUGUAGCAUUAUUUGGACUAUAUUAUUACGCCCGUAAUAUUAAGCUCGAAUAUAUAUCGUCAGAGGUAAUUACAUCGUCGUAAAUUGUAUUAUUUGAAACGGUGGGAUUAAUAUGAUUUGUGUAAUUGGAAAUUGUACCAAUUUUCCAUGCGACUGUAACUCGACUGUAACUCCGUGCUCCGUUAACGGAUUUCACGAAAGUUCAACUAAAAUUAAUAUCGAAUUUUAUUGAAAAACCAUGCGUGAUGCGUUCGAUUCGAUUGUAGCUCGAUUGCCGGAGGCAUUCGGACAAGGCGGUUUCGGUAAUUGGAUCGAACAUUCGACCGCUAGUUAUUGGUAUAGUAAUUGACGGUUAGAGUUACCUCGUCACAAUUGUUUAAAUUAGUAAAAUGUAUAUGAAAUAAUGGUGUAGUAUACUUGACGAUUAAUUAAUUAAUAAUAAAAUUGAUUAGAACCAGUUUCAUUUCACUUUUCAUUUCAUUUUUUGGGUCCACCUGUAGUUUCACAAGUAGACGUUCCCUUUCGAAUUGUCUCGACUGACCAGUUUGAUACUUACGCUCGUUUCAUUUACGA